GUAUAUAGCUAUAGACUAUACACAUAUAUACCUAAGCACAAUCAGUUGUUGAAUUAAAAAAAUGAAAUAACUUUUCCCCAAAUAAUUGGUUUGCUCCUCAAGAAAUCAUAAACUAAUUAAACUUCUGGAUUAGAGAAAAAUGUAAAGUUAUUUACUUCAAGAAUCCACUUAAAAGUCAAAAUUUCUAUACAUUGUUUUUAGAAAAUGUUUGUCUCUUCAGCCUCUGGUUGGUCCCUCUGUGAUGGAGAAUUCAUAGGACACCAGGGCAGGCUGAACUCCUGGUUGUCUCUUCCCUGCUCCAUUAUUGCCAGCAUUCAUUUCCAUGGCCACUGGCAAUAAAUGUACCUCUUGUAGACACUUUGUCACCCUCAAUUCACUAUCCUUUUGUUCAAUUUAUUAUUAUUACUAUUUCACUAGCUUUAGGGGUACAAGUGGUUUUUGGUUACAUGGAUUUAUUGUAUAGUGGUGAAAUCUUGGCUUCCAGUGUUAAUUAAAUGAAGAUGUUAUCACCCAUAUUUCAGCCACAUCUCAUUUAUGAUGGUGGAUAUUGUCAUAAAGCCUAUGUGUUGUGAUUCCUCUUCAUCAAAUGACAUUACUAGAAGAUAUACCUUCCAAACAUAGACAGGCUGGGUUUUCCCAGGUCAUCCUUAAUAUUUGACUUUUAACAGAAUUCUGGGCAAAAAAUAUAUUAUCUAAAAUACAACCUAAGUUUUAAUGUGGUAUUAGAAGUAUUACAUGAUUUUCAAAUUUGAGCAGGGAGAUGAGGUUCCAGGUGACAGCAGGAAACAGCAGACUCCUGGCCAGAUGAGACUGAGUAAAACAAGGACACCAAUCUCUUGGAUAUGGGACUGCAGCCACUUGCUGGAAACCCACAAACACUGACCAAGCAAUUGCUGCUUUGGAGGAGGAACAAGCCGCUCUCCAUCCUUUACCACCCUGGGACACUGCCCUACAGAGAUUGUGUUGGGAGUUACCUUGUCUCCUCUGCUCUCCAGCAAGGCAGCCACUGGAAUAGAGUGGAGGCAACAGCAGGAUCAAAAGGAGGGAGGAGAGAAAGAUCAUGCACUUAUGUCCUUCUCUCCUUCCUACUGUGUCACCUCAGGCAAGCUAUUGCAGCAAAAUCAAAGCUAGGAGUAACAAAGUACCGCUGGAAGUCUUUGAUGUAAUUCAAUUUUAAGAAGAUUUUAAAAAUAUAAUCGAGCCCUUACAAUAGCUCAGUAAUGGUGUGGGAAGUGAGCAAGAGAAAUCUAUUGCACAACCAGGGAUGCAUCCGUUAUCCUGCGUCAAAGUUUUGAAACAGUUGUUGAACUAAAGACAAGUGAGACCUCAUACUCCCAGGAAUGUGCAGAUCAGAAAUCAAAGCAACAUCUUUGGCUGAGCUACAGAGAUAGAAAACUGGGAUUUCAAGUAGACUUAAAUGCCAUAUUUAGGAAGGGUUUCAAGUAAAUCACAUCUAAAUCCCAGACUUCAAUUAAAAG
rnacentral:lncRNA from 1 species